GCUAUUUUUUCAACCACAAUGUCCGUCUUUCCUGUCUAGAACAUAUGUAUAUAUAUAUACUAUUUAAUUUACAUUUUUGCGUUUUCAACGACUGCAUGAAAGGUAAGUGAACCUACAAAAAAAUAACAUUGUUAAAAGAGAUUUAAAUAGACAAACAGAGACAGUAUCACCCUUUAGGGGAUCUCGCUGAAAAGUAAAGAUAUUGCUUGACAAUAAAUAAAAUAAUAUUCAAAUAAUGUGAUAUCGGGCAUGCAGUGUUGGGGAGGCCGCCCCAAUUCGAUCUGCGUCUAAAAAUGAAAAUUGUUGAAUCAAUUUUAAUUUAAUUUCAAAGUCUAAUCAUCCCACUUUUUUAAUGAUUUAUUUGAAAUUUAUGUUUUUCUAUUCAAAAUCUUAUUUUUGUGAAGGUUGAACGAUCAUUUAAGUAUACGAAAAAUUGAAGUUCUAUAUCUGACAAACAUGGAGAUAUAAUUAUUGGUCUACCGGUAAUAGUUCAGAAUCAUAUGCCGUCCGUCAGUACACAAUACAAGGAGGAUCAAUAUGUAAUACACUUGUUUCAACUUAAUUGUAUUACACUUAAUUCAUUGACUCUAUUUUGAAAAAAAAGUGUAAAUAUUUGGUUUUUUUUGGACCCCCCCCCCUCUAGAAAUAUCGAACAGAUUUGCAAAUAUGUUUUCCAUUAAGUAUUCCUUUGUUCAAUUUCAUUUAUUGUUAUUUUUUGUAUAUAUUUUUUUCCAUUUUAGGAUAAUAUUUUGAUUUAACUGUAAACUCAAACGUACAACAUGAAGGCAACAAUCUUGUUAGCAGUUCUAGUGGCAGUCUUUGUCGCAGGUAAAUAUGAUAUUCAAUAGGCACUGCCAAUGACUAUUGAGAUUUUCCAUGAGGGAAUGAACUUUUAACUUAAAAAAAGGGGAGGGUAGUUAUGUUUUUUCUUUAAAAAAAUGUUCCGAUACCAAAUUUGAUGAAAAAAACCCAUAAAAAACAUAAAGCAAAAAAAAAAAAAAUCUGAAUGCAGAUUUCCCCAAUACCUUAUAGCAUAAAAUUUUGAAAAAAUCAUUUGAUUGAGAGCGUCGAAAUUAAAAAAAAAAUGUUCGCACCUUGCGAGAAAAUAUUUGUGAUAAAAUAACCUCAACCUCCUUCCAAACCCCACCCUUGAAGAUGAUUUGUUGAUCCCUUAAAAUGUAUCAAAAAUAGAAUAAUGUGUUUGUAAAAUUGUUUCUUUAUUUUAUUUUUUUUAAAUAACACGUGGUUUGCUUGAUGUAAGUACUUAAUUGCCAAAAAUGUAUCAUGUUAUUGCCACAUUACGAUUACUUUUGCAGUAAAAAUAUAGAUAUUUAAACAUAAGAAUCAAAUAAUGUUGCAUUUCACUCAAUGAAGUGAAAAACCUUUGUAUUAAUUUGAAAGUUUGCAAGUAUUUUGACAUUUCAACCGACUGAUUUGUUGAAAAAUUGCAAACCACACAAUGUUUUUUUGUUACUUUUAUUUAAUUUACUCUAUCUAAAUCAGUUAUUUUUUUUAAUGUAUCAUGUUUUUAAUAAAGUUUACGGAAACGCCUAUAUUUGCUGUAAAAAAUACCAUGAUUUAAUGUAAUCUUCAAAGAAAUGAAUUACAAAUUAAUCGGUCUUAACUUUGUUUUUUAUACCUUGAAGGUACGGAAGCUCAUUCGCACGCUUGUACAUCAUACUGGUGUGGUAAGUUUUGUGGAACUGCUAGUUGCACACAUUAUUUAUGCAGAGUACUCCAUCCCGGUAAACUGUGUGUGUAUGUGUUCAUUGCAGCAGGGUGAACAAUCCUUUCAGAGUUAAUCAAGUUGCUAAAAGUAUUAACGAUUUGGAUUACACUCCAAUGUAAGUACAUUAUUCCCGAUUAUUUUGCAUUAUAUUAACUUUUAUAAAUUUACGAAAUGAAAUUAAUCAAUAGACCAAGUAUGUAAGUAUGAUAAUCAUACAUUUAAAGAAUGACUGUAAUAUUUUUUUCUGUCUAUGAAGAAAUAACAUAAAAAAAUUCGUGCAUACUGAAUAACGCGCGUAGCGGGUUUAUUCAACAGUGUGCACCACAUUUUUUUAUGUUAUUUCGAAUAGACAGAAAAAAAUAUUACAGUCAUUUCUUAUAAUUUAAUUCUAAAAUCCAUUUUAAACCAUAGAAAGCCAUGAAAAAACGUUGAUGACGUCACGGUCACAUGACUAAAUUAUGUCUAUGGGCUGAUAACAAAAUAACGUUAGCAAAUCAGAAGACGCGUUACAUCCAAAAUUAAAUUAUUGUUAUAUGCACAUCAUGCAUACCAAUAAUUAAACAUAAAAUAUUAAUUUCUAUUUUACCAUGUGAAAGUGUACGAUUGGUUAAUUUGGUUAUGCCAUUAUAUACAUGUUCAGGAUAAUAUGGGAAAUAAGACCAUACACGUAUAAUCAAGGCCAUAUGAAUAUAUACUCUUAUAAUAGUAAAUUAAAUACACAGUUCUAAUUUUAAAAUGGCAAAAACAGUUCGACCGUUUGAACUCCGUAGGUGUGUGUAGUUUGUGUGAUCCUCUUUGUUAUAAGAGAGAAUGAGGAUACAUUGUGUGUCAUCUUGACUACUUCAUUCAUCUUAAAUGACAACAUUUUACUUAUCAAUCAACUAUUGGUUUUUUGUACGAGCAUAUUUAGAGAUAAGAGUUAUAGUUUUUGAAAUGAUGUAAUUAAAUUGCAAAUAUAUUUUAAUGUUAACUUUAUGAGAAAAAACCCUUUAAUCUUUCAGAAUGAAGUCGAUGGAAAACUUGGACAAUGGAAUGGAUAUGUUAUAAGCAAACAACUUAUGCAAUGCAGAUCACAACUGUGAACCUUUGCUAUCAUUCUCACUGCUUUUCACCUUUCUACAAACAAAAAGUUUACAGCAACUUGAAAAAUAACAAACUUGAGUCAUGUCUGUUCAGUUUCCAGUCUAAUAUUUAUAUCAUUAUAUGAAAGGUAUAACAAAAUUAGUACCAUUGUGUGCUAAUAGAAAACAAUUGAUAAACAAGAAACAUUACACUUUAAGUAUAAAUUAACAGGAUUUUGUCCUGCAGCUGUUUUAUCUUUCUUUUCUCAGCUAUAGUCUUCUGAUUGUAAUAAAAUAGCUUGAAAAACAAACUAGCGUUGAGAAUUUUUUUUAAAUAACAGGGAAAUAAACCAAACCUUUAAGAUGUACUGCAUUCAAACAAGCUGCUGAUCUUCUUAUAUUUGAAUAGACUAAAGGAACAAUGAAAUAGGAUCAGAAAAAAUGAGAUUAAUGACGACGAAAAAACACUUCUCCAAGCGAAAAAAGUUCACUUGAUGAUAUGACUGUUGAACUAUGGGAUACAUGCAUACGCCAGUACAAGACACUUAUGGAAAGUCAAGGUCGUUAAACACCCCUAUUGUUGUAUGUUAAAAGUUCAACGUUCACAAUUAUCAAAGCCGUAGCAUAUUGACAAAAAGCA
rnacentral:lncRNA from 1 species